rnacentral:rRNA from 1 species
GUCUAUGGCCAUGCCUCCCUGAUCAAGCCCAAUCCCAUCUAAGCUCGGAAGCUAAGCAGGGUCGGGCCUGGUUACUACUUGGAUGGGAGACCACCUAGGAAGACCAGAUACUAUAGGCA